CAUUGGAAAAUUAGACUAAACCAUUAAAUAAAUUACAAGGCCUUGCUAUAAAUACAUGUCUUCGCUUGACAGUUUCCACACACAAAUCACUUCAAGAAAAUAGAAAGAUCAUAAAUUACAUUCAAAGUAUAGGAAUAUGGCAAAGUCACUAGUGAGCUACACAACCUUCCUUGCUCUCCUCUUAUGCUUCCUCCUCAUCUCAUCCAUUGAGAUGCAAUCGGCUGAGGGCAAAACUUCCCGGGCCAGGAGCAGGGUAUAUGCUACCAACACUUGCUUGUUUAGCAAGACUUGCGCCAAAUGGUGCAAAAUAGAGUAUAGAGACGACUACAUUAAGGGUGAGUGCAUUAGAAAAGGCUUCUUGUCUCGUUAUUGCUUCUGCUGGUACAAGAGCGACUGCACCUAAGAAGCAUCAAAUGCUCUCAGAAUUCUCGUUUCUUAUGUAUGAUAAAUAAAAAAUAAUGUGUUGUCAUGUAUCUGAAAGAAUAAAAACACUACCAAUUCGCUAGAAUUGAAGUGAACGUGACUAAGUUAUGUUUGUAUUAUGAUAUUGUAUGUUUGCUUCUUCAGGUCAGUACCGUAUAUGCCAAGUAAGUAUUAAUAAAAAUAAAUUGUUCGUGGUCA